rnacentral:tRNA from 1 species
GAGAGUGUAGCUCAGUGGUAAAGUGUAUGCUUCGCAUGCAUUAAGUCCUGGGUCCAAUCCCCAGUACCUCCA